CUUGACAUUAUUGUUUUCGUCGACUUUCCACAUUUACGAGCAGAGGAUCAUAAUUUGUUAAAGUUAUUUUCACAGCAGGAGGCCAGUUACUAUCCCCAGUCUUUUGGGGUUUUAUGCUGCUUACAGGGUUUCACUAUUUUCGUGCUGUUCCUUGAGUUUUAGCCAACAAAGACAUGAGACAUAAAACGAGGAACAAAAGUAUCUUGCUUUUGGCAUUGGGGUUAUGGGGUUUUUUUUCGGAGGAAAUAAAAAAAUAAUUUAAAGUGAUGAGUUUACCAAAAUCAUAUUAAGGACCAACACCAUUCGCAACCACCAAGACCAUUAUCAGCACCACCACUCUGGGCAUUACCACUGCGACCGCAUGUGGAUGAUUGUGUUGCAGUAUGGACUAUGAUGAUUUCUGUGGCAAUUUCCGUGUAAUGUGGCCCCAUUAUUGACUUUGUUAGAGUACUGACUGGCUUUUGAAUGAAUGGAAGCAACUUUAUUUGUAUGUUUGCAGUGGGGUAAUGAUACACCGGGGAAAAAAGUUGAUUGUACUCUCAGUACAAUUCGAUAAAAGUGAAAUUACAUAGUAAAAUAGCCAUUUUGGAGGUGGCAAAUUCUA